CCUACGGGAGUCAGCAGUGGGGAAUAUUGCACAAUGGGGGAAACCCUGAUGCAGCCACGCCGCGUGAGUGAAGAUGUAUUUCGGUCUGUAAAGCUCUAUCAUCCGGGACGAAGAUUACGGUACCUGAGUAAGAAGCCCCGGCUCACUACGUGCCAGCAGCCUCGCUAAUACGUAGGGGGCAAGCGUUAUCCGGGUUUACUGUGGGUUAAGGGGGCGUAGACGGUGAGACAAGUCGGAAGUGAAAGCCCGGGUCUCAACCCCGGGACUGCUUUGGAAAAUGCCUGACUGGAGUGCUGGAGAGGCGAGCGGAAUUCCUAGUGUAGCGGUGAAAUGCGUAGAUAUUAGGAAGAACACCAGUGGCGAAGGCGGCUUGCGGGACAGUAACUGACGUUGAGGCUCGAAAGCGUGGGGAGCAAACAGGAUUAGAUACCCUUGUAGUC
rnacentral:rRNA from 1 species